rnacentral:lncRNA from 1 species
CGAAUUCGGAAAUACGACCUCUUUGUUCUCUUUUCGCUCUUCUACGAUUUAUUACUUUCGAAUCUUUCAUAUUGAUUGUGUUGUGCGUGGCCCAGCAGAUAACCGGGACCUUCAGGGAAGGCUAGGUUAACUUGGCUUUCCUUCGAUUAACAAAACUCGACGGUGUGAACAUUGGUUCCCACAUAGUUCAUGUAUAUGGAGGCGCGUAGCCUAGAUGGGCACGUAGCCUUGGGAGCACGUGGCUCUAGUGGGCACAUGGCCUAAUGGGCACGUAGCCUUGGGAGCACCUAGCUCUGUGGGCGCGAGGCCUUGGGAGCGCGUAGCUUUAAAGGGCGGGAGGCCUUGGGAUCAUGUAGCUCUGGGAGCGCGUAGCUCUGUGGGCGCGAGGCCUUGGGAGAGCGUAGCUCUAAAGGGCGCGAGGCCUUGGGAGCACGUAGCUCUAAAGGUGAUAGAUGUCAUCUGUUCUAGGGGGCGCAUGGCCGGAACAGAUGGUAGACCCGUCGAUAUGCUACAGUGAGCAUGAUGUGUCGAUGUGCUUCAGUGAGCAUGGAGGGACCCUGCUGAUGAGCUGGAGAUCGUGGCUUGAACCAAGAUGGAGAGUUGUAGACGUGCAGCAGUGAGCAUAUAACUUCAUUUUGUUGAUAGUAAUCGCCGGGAUCAGCCUGUCAUAGGCGUGUCGAAGAAGAAGGUCUUCUAGGUGUUGAGUAUUGUCUUGGCGGCUAUCGAGUUGAUGAUCUCUGGUCUUGGACGUCUCAGACCCCCUUCUUUAGGUUUAGAAACCUAUAUUUAUAGUGGAGGUCGUGCCUCUCUCUUAGGAUUUUGAAAUAUUCAUUAUAUCCUUAGAUAAUAGAAUAUUUCCCUUUUUCUUAAGAGAUGUCAUAUGUAUUGGAAUACUUCCUCUUUCUCUCGAAUCUAAGGAGACACCUUCU